rnacentral:rRNA from 1 species
CCUACGGGAGGCACCAGUGGGGAAUAUUGCACAAUGGGCGCAAGCCUGAUGCAGCCAUGCCGCGUGUAUGAAGAAGGCCUUCGGGUUGUAAAGUACUUUCAGCGGGGAGGAAGGCGGUGGGGUUAAUAACCUCAUCGAUUGACGUUACCCGCAGAAGAAGCACCGGCUAACUCCGUGCCAGCAGCCGCGGUAAUACGGAGGGUGCAAGCGUUAAUCGGAAUUACUGGGCGUAAAGCGCACGCAGGCGGUCUGUCAAGUCGGAUGUGGAAUCCCCGGGCUCAACCUGGGAACUGCAUUCGAAACUGGCAGGCUAGAGUCUUGUAGAGGGGAGUAGAAUUCCAGGUGUAGCGGUGAAAUGCGUAGAGAUCUGGAGGAGUACCGGUGGCGAAGGCGGCCCCCUGGACAAAGACUGACGCUCAGGUGCGAAAGCGUGGGGAGCAAACAGGAUUAGAUACCCGUGUAGUC